CGGAGGAUCCAAGCGUUAUCCGGAAUCAUUGGGUUUAAAGGGUCCGUAGGCGGUUUUAUAAGUCAGUGGUGAAAUCUGGUCGCUCAACGAUCAAACGGCCAUUGAUACUGUAAGACUUGAAUUACUUGGAAGUAACUAGAAUACGUAGUGUAGCGGUGAAAUGCUUAGAGAUUACAUGGAAUACCAAUUGCGAAGGCAGGUUACUACAAGUAUAUUGACGCUGAUGGACGAAAGCGUGGGGAGCGAACAGGAUUAGAUACCCUGGUAGUCCACGCCGUAAACGAUGGAUACUAGCUGUUUGGAGCAAUCUGAGUGGCUAAGCGAAAGUGAUAAGUAUCCCACCUGGGGAGUACGCUCGCAAGAGUG
rnacentral:rRNA from 1 species